AUGNGGUCUUAACAUGCAGUCGACGAUGAACCACUUCGGUGGGGAUUAGUGGCGAACGGGUGAGUAACACGUGGGCAAUCUGCCCUGCACUCUGGGACAAGCCCUGGAAACGGGGUCUAAUACCGGAUACUGACCCGCCUGGGCAUCCAGGCGGUUCGAAAGCUCCGGCGGUGCAGGAUGAGCCCGCGGCCUAUCAGCUUGUUGGUGAGGUAACGGCUCACCAAGGCGACGACGGGUAGCCGGCCUGAGAGGGCGACCGGCCACACUGGGACUGAGACACGGCCCAGACUCCUACGGANGGCAGCAGA
rnacentral:rRNA from 1 species